rnacentral:rRNA from 1 species
UUGAAAGGGAAACGAUUGAAGUCAGUCGUACCAGCGGGAAAUCAACCUUUCGGGUGGGAUUUUGGGGUUUUGAAGAGUGUUAAAACCUUUGAGAUUUCAAAAUGUUCGCUCUUUUGGUGUACUUUCUCGUAGGUAGGUUAACAUCGAUUUUGAUCAUCAUAAAAGGAUUGGAGGAAUGUAGCUUCGAUCUCGUAUUGAAGUGUUAUAGCCUUUGGUAAAUGUGAUGAUUAGGAUCGAGGAUUGCAACGAAUACCCUUUUGGGCUAUCCGCCUGAUCUCUGAUACGUGACCUUGGUAUUGAAAGCGUGCUUAUGAUAUUGAGGUAUUACGGUCAAAAGGUUAGAACGGAUUACAUUCGUUAAGGAUGUUGACGUA